UACAGAGGUCCCAAGCGUUGUUCGGAAUCACUGGGCGUAAAGGGUGCGUAGGCGGCGCGGAAAGUCAGGGGUGAAAUCCCGGAGCUCAACUCCGGAACUGCCUUUGAUACUCCCGCGCUUGAGAACUGGAGGGGAGACCGGAAUUCACGGUGGAGCAGUGAAAUGCGUGGAUAUCGCUUGGAACGCCAAAGGUGAAAACAGGCUGACUGGGGUUGUGGCCGACGCUGAGACACGAAAGCCAGGGGAGCAAACGGG
rnacentral:rRNA from 1 species